GAUGAACGCUGGCGGCGUGCCUAAUACAUGCGAGUCGAGCGAACAGACGAGGAGCUUGCUCCUCUGACGUUAGCGGCGGACGGGUGAGUAACACGUGGAUAACCUACCUAUAAGACUGGGAUAACUUCGGGAAACCGGAGCUAAUACCGGAUAAUAUAUUGAACCGCAUGGUUCAAUAGUGAAAGACGGUUUUGCUGUCACUUAUAGAUGGAUCCGCGCCGCAUUAGCUAGUUGGAAGGUAACGGCUUACCAAGGCAACGAUGCGUAGCCGACCUGAGAGGGUGAUCGGCCACACUGGAACUGAGACACGGUCCAGACUCCUACGGGAGGCAGCAGUAGGGAAUCUUCCGCAAUGGGCGAAAGCCUGACGGAGCAACGCCGCGUGAGUGAUGAAGGUCUUCGGAUCGUAAAACUCUGUUAUUAGGGAAGAACAAAUGUGUAAGUAACUAUGCACGUCUUGACGGUACCUAAUCAGAAAGCCACGGCUAACUACGUG
rnacentral:rRNA from 1 species